rnacentral:piRNA from 1 species
AUAUGCUGAAAAGAAACACUCGAAG